UUUCCGUAAAAAUUGCUACUUCUUCUUACCUGCUAAAAUAUAAAAAUUAAUACGGGGCGGGGCAGGUUAUGUGGGUUUAUGCGUGUUCAAGUAAGAUUUCUUCUAAUUCUUCCUAAUCAGAUUUUUUUCCUUAACUAAAGUUCAUAAUGCUCUAUUGUUUUUGUUUUUGUCUUUGUUUUUGUUUUACUGUUGUUUUUCUUUUUAUCCUAUGCGCCGAGGGUCGAUUGGAAACAGC
rnacentral:lncRNA from 1 species